rnacentral:piRNA from 1 species
UGAUAGCAGAUAUGGGCAGAAGAGACUC